GUGGGGAAUAUUGGACAAUGGGCGAAAGCCUGAUCCAGCCAUGCCGCGUGUGUGAAGAAGGUCUUCGGAUUGUAAAGCACUUUAAGUUGGGAGGAAGGGCAGUAAGUUAAUACCUUGCUGUUUUGACGUUACCGACAGAAUAAGCACCGGCUAACUUCGUGCCAGCAGCCGCGGUAAUACGAAGGGUGCAAGCGUUAAUCGGAAUUACUGGGCGUAAAGCGCGCGUAGGUGGUUUUGUAAGUUGGAGGUGAAAUCCCCGGGCUCAACCUGGGAACUGCCUCCAAAACUGCAUGACUAGAGUACGGUAGAGGGUAGUGGAAUUGCCUGUGUAGCGGUGAAAUGCGUAGGUAUAGGAAGGAACACCAGUGGCGAAGGCGACUACCUGGACUGAUACUGACACUGAGGUGCGAAAGCGUGGGGAGCAAACAGGAUUAGAAACCCCGGUAGUCC
rnacentral:rRNA from 1 species